AUUGAACGCUGGCGGUAUGCUUAACACAUGCAAGUCGAACGGUAACAGGCCUUCGGGCGCUGACGAGUGGCGGACGGGUGAGUAACGCGUAGGAAUCUGCCUCAUAGUGGGGGACAACGUGGGGAAACUCACGCUAAUACCGCAUACGCCCUACGGGGGAAAGCGGGGGAUCUUCGGACCUCGCGCUAUGAGAUGAGCCUGCGUUAGAUUAGCUAGUUGGUAGGGUAAAGGCCUACCAAGGCGACGAUCUAUAGCUGGUCUGAGAGGACGAUCAGCCACACUGGGACUGAGACACGGCCCAGACUCCUACGGGAGGCAGCAGUGGGGAAUAUUGGACAAUGGGCGCAAGCCUGAUCCAGCAAUACCGCGUGUGUGAAGAAGGCCCUAGGGUUGUAAAGCACUUUCAAUUGGGAGGAAAACCUGCCGGUCAAUACCCGGCAGCUUGACAUUACCUUUAGAAGAAGCACCGGCUAACUCCGUGCCAGCCGCCGCUGUAAUAC
rnacentral:rRNA from 1 species